rnacentral:rRNA from 1 species
UACGAAGGGGGCUAGCGUUGUUCGGAUUUACUGGGCGUAAAGCGCACGUAGGCGGAUCGUUAAGUCGGGGGUGAAAUCCUGGAGCUCAACUCCAGAACUGCCUUCAAUACUGGCGAUCUUGAGUCCGGAAGAGGUGAGUGGAACUCCUAGUGUAGAGGUGGAAUUCGUAGAUAUUAGGAAGAACGCCAGUGGCGAAGGCGGCUCACUGGUCCGGUACUGACGCUGAGGUGCGAAAGCGUGGGGAGCAAACAGG